rnacentral:rRNA from 1 species
AGUGAACGCUGGCGGUAGGCCUAACACAUGCAAGUCGAACGGCAGCACAGUAAGAGCUUGCUCUUACGGGUGGCGAGUGGCGGACGGGUGAGGAAUACAUCGGAAUCUACUUUUUCGUGGGGGAUAACGUAGGGGAACUUACGCUAAUACCGCAUACGACCUACGGGUGAAAGCAGGGGAUCUUCGGACCUUGCGCGAUUGAAUGAGCCGAUGUCGGAUUAGCUAGUUGGCGGGGUAAAGGCCCACCAAGGCGACGAUCCGUAGCUGGUCUGAGAGGAUGAUCAGCCACACUGGAACUGAGACACGGUCCAGACUCCUACGGGAGGCAGCAGUGGGGAAUAUUGGACAAUGGGCGCAAGCCUGAUCCAGCCAUACCGCGUGGGUGAAGAAGGCCUUCGGGUUGUAAAGCCCUUUUGUUGGGAAAGAAGAGCAGCAGGUUAAUACCCCGCUGUUCUGACGGUACCCAAAGAAUAAGCACCGGCUAACUUCGUG